CUGCUGCCUCCCGUAGGAGUUUGGGCCGUGUCUCAGUCCCAAUGUGGCCGGUCACCCUCUCAGGUCGGCUACUGAUCGUCGCCUUGGUGGGCCGUUACCCCGCCAACCAGCUAAUCAGACGCGGGUCCAUCUCAUACCACCGGAGUUUUUCACACCGGAACAUGUGUCCCUGUGCGCUUAUGCGGUAUUAGCAGUCAUUUCUAACUGUUAUCCCCCUGUAUGAGGCAGGUUACCCACGCGUUACUCACCCGUCCGCCACU
rnacentral:rRNA from 1 species